AGGGAGAGAGAGAGAUAUCCGCAUGAAUGCUCUCCGGAAGUCAAUAAGACUGCAUAAUUUUGGGUGUUGUGUAGGGAGUCACUUUCAUUCAUAAAAUUUCCAUGUGUUCGUGUGCAAUGCCGCGAACUCAUGUAUGCUUAAACCAAGCUAUUUUAUCGCACCGACUAACUUUUUAUGCAGCAUUACAAUAACACAAGCGGAGUCUUUCCUUGCAAUCUGUUUCUGGCCGCUGUUUUGCAUUUUCUCGAGCAGACAGUUUCCUCAAACGUUAAGGCAGCCGCGUCCAGGGCAUUGGGAGGCAGCGAGUCCCUCCCUUCUUACUCCCGCCCUGGCGAGAGUUGUCAGAAUGUCGGAGGGUGAGCUUAGCUUAAUCUUGCUCCCGCUACACCGCAGUGUCUGGGGCUUUCAUGCUUAAUUAAGCUUUGGUGAGCUUCAGGUGAAUGUUAUACACGUAACAGUUGCAAGAGAGUGUAUGAAAGGGCUGCUGCCCGAGGACAGAGGGCGGUGUGUGGGGUGUGUGCCGCUGGACAGUGUGGCAGCCCGUGUGUGUACGUACUAUGAGCCCCGGCGCGAGGCAGAUAUCGGAGGGUGAGUUUGCCUUAUCUUGUCUUUGCGUCAGUGUUUCUGGUGUUUCACGCAGAGAUAAGCUUUGGAGGGCUUUAGGCGAGUGUCAUACACGUGAAACAGUGGCGAGAGAGUGUGCGGAGGCCGCGCCUGAGGGCAGAGAGCAAUGUGUGGACGUGGACGUGUGUGCUGGACAGUGUGGCAGCCCCGGGGUUGGCCGCGGCGCGAGGCACAUCUAAGUAUUUCCCGCCGCCGCCGCAGGAAAGACUUAAGUAUGUCGCGUGUUGACUUGGGAGGGAGGAAGGAAAGACUACCUACGCGAUUCUACCUAUGCAAAUAAGGUUCCUGAAGGCGGAAGAGCUGAGGGGACGACGGGAGGCGACGACGACGACCACCUUCCCGCGGCCCCUGAGGGAGGUACACCGCCGCCCUUAUGAGCACCAAGGGGGGCGGGGGGCCUCUAGUGGGGCGGCGCCUCCCCCAACACCGGCAGCGUCUGUGGCGGAGAGAAGACACGCUUGGGCCUGAGUCGGCGAACCAGCUACUGGGACAGGGCUCAGAAGGACGACAGCGACGCCUCAGAGCGGGGAGUGACGUGGCUUCGUAAAAAAUGAUAGGACAGAUGAAGGAAAGACUGAGAGAGGUUCCUCGUGUGUGGUGACGGCCGCCGGACCUCGCUCCUCUCCCUCCCCGCCCUGCACCUGCACCCUCCCGACCACCACGAAUUAACAGACAGCUCCUGAAGUUUGCCUGACAGCUGGCUAGGCCCACCACCCUGUGUCUGGCGUGUCUCCAUCCAGGCAGUGUGGUGGGGCUGUGACACCUGAUGGGAGCUACACAGUGAUGGACACCUGCAGCAGACCUCAGGACACCACAGAAGCAACAGUGACGACAAGUUAAAGAACUCUCGGCAAUCUAUUAUAUCGAAGGACACAAAAUGAAGUGUUGUAAAUGAGAUGUUGCCCGGGGUUCAUGGGAUGUGGACUGUUUCCUGAAUGUACUGAAGGUUGUUCAAUAAAUAUACUGAAGGGGAGA